rnacentral:lncRNA from 1 species
CGUCUGUAAACACCCAGAGACUGUCAUGGAGGGGGAGGAGGAGGCGGCGGCGGCGAAGGGAGGCGUUUGGGGCCGCCUCCAGGGUCCGCUCUGCCAUUCCUGAACUGGUCCCUCGUCCCCGUGACUCUGGCAUCAGGGAAGCGAACUGUUAGGCGAGAGGAGGAGGCAGCCAGAACCAUAUCCCCUUCUUCCUCGGGGCGGGGGCCGGGCCAGGCCGGCUGAGCCGGGGGAGGGCUCCGGGAGGGAGUGCCUGGCCAGGCCGGCCUGUCUGCCGCGAUGGAUGACAGUAAGGUAAGUGGUUGGAGGCAAAGUAAAGAAGCCCGGUAAACGUGGUCGGAAGCCAGCCAAAAUUGACUUGAAAGCAAAACUUGAGAGGAGCCGGCAGAGUGCAAGAGAAUGCCGAGCCCGAAAAAAGCUGAGAUAUCAGUAUUUGGAAGAGUUGGUAUCCAGUCGAGAAAGAGCUAUAUGUGCCCUCAGAGAGGAACUGGAAAUGUACAAGCAGUGGUGCAUGGCAAUGGACCAAGGAAAAAUCCCUUCUGAAAUAAAGGCCCUACUCACUGGAGAAGAGCAGAACAAAUCUCAGCAGAACUCAAGCAGGCAUACCAAGGCUGGGAAGACAGAUGCUAAUAGCAAUUCCUGGUGAAGAUUAUAUAAAGAUGAGUCAGUGAUUGAAGCCAAUAUUCUGAUUCCCAUGGAAGAUGGAUGGGCAAGAGUGUACUUCUUGGCUCCAUUUACUACCUACUGCUCAGUAGUCAUCUCUGUAAAUCUGCAAUUUCUACCAAAAUGUGUGAUCGUAGAUCUCAAAGGAUCUUGCUUUAACUUUCAACACUUAGAAAAUCUACAAACAUUCAGACCUGUCUGGGUUGGUAUUGCCACCCAUGACAUUUAACAUGUUGUGAUGCUUGAAAACACAGGAGUAGAGAAAAUCGAUGAAGAUUGUAUUUUUGCACCUUAACUCCACAUUGCUUUAUUGGUUAAUUUAUAUUCUUUCCAUGUAAUUCAUGUAAUUGUAUGUCUGUGUGUGUUUUAUGUGUCACCACCUUUCAUGUUUUUGAUUGCCCUACAAAGAGAAACCAAAUGAGCUGAUUACUGACUAUAAGUUCUCAGCCUUUAUGGACCUAAUCU